GCGCCUAUAGCUCAACAGGAUAGAGCAGUUGCCUCCUAAGCGACCGAUCCGAGUUCGAGUCUUGGUGGGCGCGCCA
rnacentral:tRNA from 4 species